rnacentral:rRNA from 1 species
GUAGGGUGCGAGCGUUAAUCGGAAUUACUGGGCGUAAAGCGUGCGCAGGCGGGUUUUGUAAGACAGAGGGUGAAAUCCCCGGGGCUCAACCUGGGAAUUGCCUUUGUGACUGCAAGGCUAGAGUACGGCAGAGGGGGAUGGAAUUCCGCGUGUAGCAGUGAAAUGCGUAGAUAUGCGGAGGAACACCGAUGGCGAAGGCAAUCCCCUGGGCCUGUACUGACGCUCAUGCACGAAAGCGUGGGGAGCAAACAGGAUUAGAUACCCUGGUAGUCCACGCCCUAAACGAUGUCAACUGGUUGUUGGGUCUUAACUGACUCAGUAACGAAGCUAACGCGUGAAGUUGACCGCCUGGGGAGUACGGCCGCAAGGUUG